GGGAAUGUGGCUCAUUGGUAGAGUGCUUGCCUAGCAUGCAUGAAGCUCUGAGUUCAAUUCCUCAGUACCA
rnacentral:tRNA from 1 species